GGCGCAAGCCUGAUGCAGCGACGCCGCGUGAGGGAUGACGGCCUUCGGGUUGUAAACCUCUUUCAGUAGGGAAGAAGCGAAAGUGACGGUACCUGCAGAAGAAGCGCCGGCUAACUACGUGCCAGCAGCCGCGGUAAUACGUAGGGCGCAAGCGUUAUCCGGAAUUAUUGGGCGUAAAGAGCUCGUAGGCGGUUUGUCGCGUCUGCUGUGAAAGACCGGGGCUCAACUCCGGUUCUGCAGUGGGUACGGGCAGACUAGAGUGCAGUAGGGGAGACUGGAAUUCCUGGUGUAGCGGUGAAAUGCGCAGAUAUCAGGAGGAACACCGAUGGCGAAGGCAGGUCUCUGGGCUGUAACUGACGCUGAGGAGCGAAAGCAUGGGGAGCGAACAGGAUUAGAUACCCUGGUAGUCCAUGCCGUAAACGUUGGUUUCUAGGUGUGGGGGACAUUCCACGUUUUCCGCGCCGUAGCUAACGCAUUAAGUGCCCCGCCUGGGGAGUACGGCCGCAAGGCUAAAACUCAAAUGAAUUGACGG
rnacentral:rRNA from 1 species